UACGUAGGGGGCGAGCGUUGUCCGGAUUCACUGGGCGUAAAGCGCGCGUAGGCGGCUCGUUAAGUCGGAUGUGAAAACCCGGGGCUCAACCCCGGGCCUGCACCCGAUACUGGCGGGCUGGAGGCAGGUAGGGGAGAUCGGAAUUCCCGGUGUAGCGGUGAAAUGCGCAGAUAUCGGGAGGAACACCGGUGGCGAAGGCGGAUCUCUGGGCCUGUCCUGACGCUCAGGCGCGAAAGCUAGGGGAGCAAACAGG
rnacentral:rRNA from 1 species